UUUAUUGCUCCCCGCCAUUCAACGGGCGGCGCCAGGCUCCUCGCGGUCCAGCCAUCAUAUGGCGGCACCGUCGCCGUUAAAGCGGGCGCUUAGUGAUCUUUGAACACGAAACGUGCUCCAAAGAGAGCCAGCGACCGCCGCAACAAAUUCAGCGCAGCCAAACCUGGACGGCGCAGACGUGGAAGUUGCGACUUCUCAGAUUGAUACGGAGGAACUGAACCGCUGCAGGGAGCGAACUGGACCCUCGUUUUGUAAUGUUUUCAUUUCACUUUCUGUUCUUAUUCGUCGCAGCGACGUCCGAGCUAAUGACGUAGGGCGAGAAUAAUCAAGAAUGGGCCAUUAUAAACUACGGCCACUGCUUUCAUAAAUCCCCAUAUUAUGAGAGCAAAAACGCACGUCUUCUAAAGGCGGAACCGCAUGGCGCGAUUUCAGGCGCGAUUGACGCGCGGGUGGUGGGACGCGCGCGUCAUUUUGACGCGUGCCCAGCAGGGUCCAUCACGAAAUCGCGCCGCCGCGUGCUGCUGCUCGGAGUAGAAAAAAACAUAGAGUUAGUAGAACAACUCUAGAGGAAAAGCUGGGCCGGAAAAGUGGGAACCUCUAGGGCGCCGCCCUGUUGCUACUGGUCAAUGUGGCCAGCGCAAUUACUAUUGAAAGAGCUGAGAACAAGUACAGGUCACCUUAUGCUUUGUCACCUAAAAACGCAUACCUGAUGGCUUUAUGAAGGUGGUACGUUAAUAUUAAGUUUACAGAAAGCGAUCGCUAAGUCCGUGACUUAUGUAAAUCACGAUGUACGCAUUCAUGCAAUAAAAGAUGACGCGAAUUUCGGUUUCGAAUCUGUUUUUUGGAUGCGUAGUAGUUUCGUUUGACAUGCGAUCGCGCGUCGACAUCGGACGCUAUGACACACUCGUGCCUUAUGUGCCACCGAAGCCCCGAAGUGGUCUGGCAUAUACCUUCACAUAUAUGCAAUGGCAAGCCCUUCCGUGUGUUCCAAAGACAAUGCCUACGCCUAGCCACAGCAGCUCCCUCAUACAGACUCCGCAAACCAAGAGGCCGUGGAGGCAAAUGCAGGCAGCCAGCACACCUCGAACAGCCACCUUGACUGCGGGUGUGUCACCCUAGUCGCCAAGGAAACAUUUGAGGGAAAGUGACAGGCAAUGUCAACAGCCACUCCUCCAUGUAAACAAUACUCUUUCUCUCGGAUGACUCCUACGCCUCACCACGCCAGCACACUUGUGCACAAAGAUGCCGCAGAGGCACGUGCAGGUCAGAGGCAAGAAGCAGUGGCACUGGUGUCGACAUUUACCCAAUUUCUUUUUCUUACACUGAGGCAGCCAGCACACCUCGACUGCAGGUGUGUUAGUUGAUCCCUGUUGUACAUAUGCUCAUAAUAAACUUCAGUAAACUUGAACUUCAUAAUAAACUUGAAGGCAAAUGGUACAUUGAUGCAUUGUAUUUUUGAACAUUUAUUGUACACAUACAAUAUAUGUUAUACUUUGCAGUGCUACAGAGCGUAUUUUGAAGCUUCCCCCUAUAUUUUGCACCUUUAAUUACGUAUGUGUUGUGUGGCCCUCAAUGCAGUUCAUGUUGUAGCAGCUGCUUUGUCUGUGUAUCGCACAUUGGCUUAAGCUCGUGAUACCCACGUACUUCUCUCACAUAUACAAAAUAAAGUUCUAUGUAGUCCUCAGUGUUACAACAAAAAAUGAAAGUAAACAAUCCGAUCGUGGAAUUAUGUUUAUUACAGUGAUUCCUACGACAGUUACUGACAAGUUGACAACUUGAACUGGUCAAUCGGUCCAUAGCCUCCUCUAUUUUUCAAAAAUAAAGGAGGCUAUGAUCCGUCAUGGCAAGGAAUUGUAUGUAUACAUAAAAAAAAGGGGGUAUGUGUGUGUUUGUAGUGGGGGUAUAGGAUUAGGGCGGUACGAAAAAAUGUACCAACACCGUCCUCUAGACCCAUUCCGUUGAGGUACCGUAACAAAACGUAUUAUGCAUAAAGUUCAUACAACCAACUCUGAUAUUACUACAGACGCCAGGCGACGCGAGCUACAUUUGUCAUGAUGCAUUCGCGACUGCACCGGAUGCCCUCCACAUUAUUCUCGUUAAUCGUGCUCACUGCGCCGAGGCAAAAGAAAGACCAUGGGCGCAGGUGCCUUUAAUGUAUCUCGACCUUGCGAGGCACGGCUGCGCGUGCCAGGGGAGCUGUCCGUGCGAACACUCCCUGGCACACACCUGCCUCGGCGGCCCCAACCUACGUACCGUUCUGCUUCGAGCUUUGAUCCCCCCACUGUCCCUCGGGUGCCCUGGAGUUCCUGCGCCGCCUGCUCUACUACCAUCUCAGGUGCUCUCCUGAGACUUCCGUUUGUCGGUUACAUGUGCCCUACAGCUGGAUCAUUACUUAUAAUAAUAAAAAACCCGAUCUAUCGUCACGACGAUAGAUCGCGAAAGCGGCUUUUGCAACAUACCGCGCCCGUGCGAAGAUAAUUACGGAACGCCAACGAGGAGUCUGACCACAGCUUCGAGCUCGUAACGUCGUCGAGUGACACUCCUGCAACAGGCGUGACCGCUGAAAACCGCAUACCGCCAGAAGCUUGAACAGGAUCAUCCCUCGGUUGCAUAACUGCCAGCUCUACGGCCAACAUGGACCACACCCACACCAUCCCGCAACAUAGAAUAAAGAACCGGCUUAUGAAGCCCAAACAAACGGCUGCACGCACACAGCACAACUCUUCAAGCGAGACGCCAUGCUGCUACGCUGCUACUGUUGCCGGAUU